rnacentral:sRNA from 1 species
CGCCGAGUCCGAGCCCCCGGGAGACCACCGGGGUCUGGUGCAAAAGGGA